rnacentral:snRNA from 1 species
AUCGCUUCUCGGCCUUUUGGCUAAGAUCAAGUGUAGAGAGUUGCACCAAGCAGUUUUUUUUUUUUUUUUUUUUUUGCGGUACGCGGGCCUCUC